rnacentral:piRNA from 1 species
CACAGAACUAGAAGCAAACAGGC